GUUCGGAAGAUUGAAAUAAGUCUACCUGAACUUCAGUGUCUCCAUCAAAAGCACACCUUCAGAAGGGACAAGAAUAAAUAACCUGGGCCCAAUAAGAAAUCAAAUGAAAUGAAAAAAGUGCAAUCAAAACAAUUAAAAAAAAAAAGAAAUCGGAUCAAAUGCAUGCUUGAAGAGAGCCUGCCUAUUUGUGAUAAAUCCCUCCAAAGCAAGCUUUUGCAGAUAAUCACGUUUUACAGACUGAGGCAAAUAGCCAAGAAAAUAAUGCGCAGGGCCACUCAAAAAACUGUUGGAACGUUGAAACAAAUUGAAGGAUUUUGACAAAUUAAAUGGAAGAGUAUAGAAUUCAACUACCUAAUUUGGAGUUUCAUUUAACUUCUGUUACGUUCUGGAUAUAACAAUAUCUGGUCCUGUAUAGAUAAAGGUGAAUAUGAUGCCUGCGGGCGAUUUAAGAAUUUGAUUCAUCAAGCAGAUCUUCCCAUUAGUAGAUUGUUUUUGAUAGAUCGAGACAAAGGAUAAAUAGAAGCAGCAGCAGCAGAAAUAUUUAGAUGUCCUCUACUAGCACAUCACUUGAUGUUAUUGCGUCUUUUAAAAACGGACUUCUAAAUCCAACAGAUUUCUAAAAAUAAUUAAACAUUAGAACGUGUUGUACUUCAGCUUGUUGUUCGUAACAUUAAUAAAAAUAGACAUUUUUAGUCUACGAAAUUAAUUCAAUAUACUCUUUUAAGUCUACUCUAUUUAGAAUCUGAGAUGUGUAACACGUAGCUUUCUUCAACUUAAAAGUACCGCAUGCAAAAUAUAAAGAAAAUCCUUGCUAAAUAGAAGUAUUCCACCUUUAUUCAUUCGUGUAUAAACAUAGAUUCCAAAAAUAAAACACCCAAUUUGUAUAGGGCCUAUUUCAAGUAUUCAUUUCAUUUAUUUAAGUAUUCAUUUAUAAAUAACUCUGGUUACGAAGGAUAUUUCUUAGCAUAAAUGACUAAGGCAGGGCUAAACGAUAAAGCAAUAUUGAAAGGAAGACAUAACCCAGGGAUCCUGGUUAGAAUAAGGGGACAGUGGACCUUGUGCUCUUUGUUAGUGAGUUGAAAUAUACUGGUUUUCAACUUCUAACAGGGGGAGGGAUAAGGGAGGCAUCAGACUUAAAAAAAAUUUCAUAAGGAGGCAAUAAGCUUUCCAAGGAUGCAUGACUUGAACGAAGGCCAGA
rnacentral:lncRNA from 1 species